UACCUGUUUGCUGACUUAGGCGCCGCUGAAGGUUUCUGCCCGAUUUCCGGUUUAUCCGGAGUCGGCUUGGACGGAUCAGGUAUCGGUAAGUUAGGCUUGUUACCAACAGCAUUAGCUAAGAGGAGCGCUUCGACGGGGGCGAACACGAAUACCACACCGUCCACGUGGACACGGAAAUUCUCGGUUCCGUUCUGUCGUUGAUCGUAAUGAUCGACGUCCGAGGAACUCGGCAGCACAGUUGUCGGAUCCACGAUCGUUGUCUCGUUCGCAACCGGUAAGCACUCGACCCUACUCGAGAUGAACACGACGAGAAGCAGCACCGUUUUGAAGACUCUCAUGUUGAUCGAUAGCAUCGAUAUGCGUCGCGAUUAUCGGUGCAAACGUACAGGGGUGGUUCCAGGGAUUCAAGAAGAUUCGUUGUUGCCGAGCGGUGCAAUUCCACGCGAGUUAAAUGAAAGGACUGCGACGGCUUUCGAUAAGAAAAAAAGAAAAAAAAACGAUUCCCGUGGCGUGUGGCGAGCAAUGAACGUCCUGACGAUGCGGAGGAUGAGCGAGGUGUGACGACGUCUCCUGCCGACCGGCGAUCCCGGUCCCCACCUGGCAUGGAAACAGAUCGUCAGGCAAGUUCAAGAACCUGCGGGCCACUGUGUGUACAUUCCCUUGCAUACACAGGCCGCACGGAACAUAUUCUCGGCUUGAAUCAAUUUUUCUAAAAGCUGAGACGUUGAUAUCUUAUUCGCGGGAAAUAUCGCGAAAGGGACAGUUCCCGCGAUAACACGCUUUUCACACUGAACGCAUCAACGGAAGUAGGAGAAUCCUAUUCUCUAGGAAAAGACUCGAGGAGUGCCCAUGGAAGAUGAAAAGGUUGGAGGAAACAUAAUGUACUGAAAGUAAUUAGCCCCAAAGGUAACAGUUCCUUCAAGUGCAUACAAUAUGAACUGGUAUCACCGAGCGAUAAGAAACCGAAUAAAUGACUGGGUGAAAAAUAGUAAAGCAUCAAAUAUGGUAUCGGUUCCAAUUAACCCCUUGAGUGACAAUAUCGUGUCAGACUCGCGGCAAAAAUUUUAAACAGAAUUUCUAAAACCUAAGUAUUAUUCAUUUUUAAAAAAUAUAAAUUAAGUAUUACUGCUCUAUUAUCGAUCACUCACAAUAUCGUGUCAGACUCGCAGCGAAAAUUAUAAACUGAACUUGAGAAACCUAAGUAUUAUUCAUUUUUAAAAAAUAUAUAUUAAGUAUUAC